GACUCACAGUCCAGAUGCCUGAGAUUGGCAGGGCUGGGCUGGGAGCACCCGAGUCCUCCAGCUGUUACCUGCUGCCUGCCAAGGGGCAGAAGUAGGAUAGAACUGGAUCCCAGCACACUGCUCUGGGCUGCUGGUGCCUCCGAUCCUGACGUGCUACACCACAGAGUCCACCCCUGGUCUUCAGACAGUGAAUGAAUUGGUUGGGCUAGCAGACUGGAGGCAUAGCAACUGGUCUGUAUGUAUGUGGAGUCAAAUGUGGCCAUAAACAUAGCAUCAGGAAUCUCACUGUUUCCUCAAAGAUACAAUCUUAAGAACAAAGCAUAGAAGAAUGCAGAAAAGAGACUGGAUGCGGUUCCGACUGGCCGGCUGGGGUCUGCCCUGGCACUGGCUACUGCUGGUAUCUGUCCCCCUUUCCUUCUUCCCUUGCUACUUCACGCUCUCCUUGUUUUUCCUAGCCCUCCCCACGCCCAGUGAAAGGAAGAUGGGGAAAAAUAAGAAUCUUUCUGUUUUUAUGUAAGACUGAUUGA